UACGAAGGGGGCUAGCGUUACUCGGAUUUACUGGGCGUAAAGGGCGCGUAGGCGGUUUGUACAGUCAGACGUGAAAUUCCUGGGCUCAACCUGGGGGCUGCGUUUGAUACGUGCGGACUUGAGUUCGGAAGAGGGUCGUGGAAUUCCCAGUGUAGAGGUGAAAUUCGUAGAUAUUGGGAAGAACACCGGUGGCGAAGGCGGCGACCUGGUCCGAUACUGACGCUGAGGCGCGAAAGCGUGGGGAGCAAACAGG
rnacentral:rRNA from 1 species